CUCUGUAUUACAAAGGUAGACAACCUUUGGCACUCCAGAUUUUGUGGACUACAUCUCCUAUAAAGCUCUCACAGCCAUAAUGCUGGCAAAAGGAUCAUAGGAGGUCUAGUGCACAUCAUCUGGAGUGCCAAAGGUUGCCUACCCCUGCUAUACUACA